GACGAACGCUGGCGGCGUGCCUAACACAUGCAAGUCGAGCGGGGUUGAAGCGAGAGGUAACUCGAGCUUCUACCUAGCGGCGGACGGGUGAGUAACGCGUGGGCAACCUGCCUCAAGGUUUGGGAUAACAGCCCGAAAGGGCUGCUAAUACCGGAUAUGCCUAUGGCCUCGCAUGGGGCUAUGAGCAAAGGGGAAACCCGCCUUGAGAUGGGCCCGCGUCCCAUCAGCUAGUUGGUGAGGUAACAGCUCACCAAGGCGACGACGGGUAGCCGGCCUGAGAGGGUGACCGGCCACACUGGGACUGAGACACGGCCCAGACUCCUACGGGGGCAGCAGUGGGGGAUCUUGCACAAUGGGCGAAAGCCUGAUGCAGCGACGCCGCGUGAGCGAAGAAGGCCUCGGUUGUAAGCUCUGUCUGGAGGGACGGAACAAAAUAGACGGUAACCGUCCGGACGGAAGCCACGGCUAACUACGUGCCAGCAGCCGCGGUAAAGUACACGUCG
rnacentral:rRNA from 1 species